UGACAUAUAUGUAUUAUAUAAGGAGAUCAUAAGUCACAUAAACAUUUUAUUGAAAGAAGAAAAAAGUUGGAAGAUGGAAGAAAGGAAAGAUGGUAGGUAGUCCUUCAUCCAAUAAAGGUGGAAGAAGGAGUGUAAAAGAAAAAGAAGAAAGAAACAUUGGAAUAUGUGACUGGCAGCGGGGAUGAUAUCAAGCCUUAAUCGGGAUUACAGAUAAUAAAAAACCUGUCAAUCAAUCUACUGAUGGAAAAAUCCCUGGAGUGGGUAAGUGGGGAAAUUUUGCCAUAGAAGUCAAUGAUAAUGCAACUACCAGCUUGGUCAGGAUUCAACCCCUGAAGGCGGGAGCAGCAAGAAGAAGAGUUUUCCCCAUUCAACAGACUGCGACACGCAGUAUACAACCCAGUUGUAUUAUUUAUAGGACAAUCUUGAGACCUCACCAUUGAGAGUGAUAGGAGACUGAGAGAGAGGAAGACUGCCAAAACAUAUUUCAUCAAACCCAUUCUCACAACACUACUUCCUUUCUUUUCUUUUUUAUUCUCAAUCAUUUACAACUCAACACCAAACCCUAUUUAUAGCCCACAAACUUCUGCUUUUCCUCUUCGUCAUUUAUUUAUGCUGUAAAAUUCUUCAAUUAACUUUAUUUGAAAGUCUCACGCCUCUUUGAGAAAAAUAAACUAUUUGUGGUGCUUCUUUAUUGUCUUACUAAGUGCGUGUGACUAUUAAUAGAUUUCGGCAUCGCAUGCUCGAGUACCUAUGCCAACUUUAGAAAUCCAAUUUGUGAGACACACCUUACGCACAUUAAUAGUUUGGCCUAAAACAUUGAUCAUGCCAUACUUUAACCUACCACAAGUACUAUAUUAUUAUUCUUGGUAUUUUUUUUAUGUAACAUUUUAUAAAUAAAUGAUCCAAACUUUAAUUUAUGUAGCUUUAGUGUCAGUUGUAACAUUUUGUGUUUUAUAAUUUUGGUUUUGAAUCUAUGUGGAAACUUUCUAAAUUGUUCUAGAGCAUUUUCUAUUAUUAGAAGAUACUGUUUAUAAUUUCUCAUGCUUACAAAAUAUAGUGAUUAAAUUAAAAUUUAAUUUGAAUCAUACAACCUUUAACAUGAAUAUUUAGUGUAGAAGCGCUGACCAAAUAAUGUUAAACAAUCAUUAUUUAUAGGUUUAAUGGUUUGGCAAAUCCUCUUUUUUUAUCCAGAAUUUUAAAUAGGUUUUCUAUUUAUUUAGUGUCUUAAUUAAAUCCUUAUUUUUUAAAAAUUGAAACAAAUAAAAAUUUGCCGUCAAAUUGGACAAACGCUGUUUAAGAGACUCUUACGUGACAUGCUGAUAGUUCGUGUCGCCUAAGCUAAAUAUUCUCAUUUGGACGAGAUAUGCAUUGGAACAUUUUUCCUUUAAGCUAAAACUAAGUUGUCUCGGCAAGAUAAGCACUAUAACAUUCUUUUCACUUUUGAACAACUUAUAUCCAUGUCAUCAACACCAAGAAUUACUUUCUUACCCUUAAACUCUUCCUGAACCUCUCUCAGUUUAGAAAAUGUAGAAGAAAGAUUUAAUAUAGAUUCAAGUUUACCCAUGUGAAUGCCUAUAGGAAAAAUUUUAAUAAAAAUAGUGCGGCCAAAGUCAUCAAGCCCUAUAUGUCCUCGCUUAGAUUCACAGUCCAGACCUAGCAUUCUACUGCAGCAAGAAAGAAAGUGGCGAGCAUAAUCAAAUCUAUGAAAGCCAAUUAAAUCAGAGUUCAACAAACCCCUCAAAAUUUCAUCCCGUACUGGUAAAGUUCGGUAUAUUUCAGAAGAAGGGAAAGGAUUAUGCAGAAAGAAUCCAAGCUUAACCUGAUUAUACCGCUUCCUCAAGAAAGUAGGCAAAACCAUUAAGUGAUAGUCAUGAACCCAAACAAAAUCAUCAUCGAGAUUAAUUACUUCCACGACCUUGUCUGCAAAUAUUUUGUUUGCAGAAACAUAGGCCUCUGCCAAAGUAUUCUAUCUAAGUGAUCACCAUGAUCUGGGCAUAUGGGUAACAUAUGAUGAAAGAAAGGCCAAAGUUGCUGCUUACAGAAGGCAAGGUAGAACUUCAUCUUUUAAUUGUAAUAAAAUUCAAUCCUCAUCCCAAUUGAAGAACCAUUUAGUAGUUUCCAUAUCUCUUUCAGCCUGCAAUGGCAACAUGUUUGCCACAAUGAUUUUCCGCUCCCUAAACCCAGAAGAGCUAACAUAUGAAUCACCAUCAUUACAACCAAAUAAUUCCAGGAACGGUCAUAACCCUUGGAAGAGCUCUUGGAGUGUGAGGAAUAUCAAACAAGUCCCGUUAGCCAAGUCUAACAUAUUAACCUAUGAUCUUGAAGCCAUGAAUGGACUUUCUACAAUUCUUUCUAUCAUUUCUGCUAUAAACGAUAAUAAAUAUGAAUAUCAAGCAAGAUUCCAAAUAAUUAUCCUACAAAUAAUAUAACAACGGCCUCCAAGUAAAUUAAAAUGAAAAAGACGACAUUCUAUGGCAUUCGUCAAAUAUUUGUCCAUUAAAAAAUUGUUCAAAAAUGAAAAGAAUGUUCUAGUUUUUAUCUCGCUCAGACAACUUCGUUUUAGUUUAAGUGAAAAGGUUCCACUGCAUAUCUCGUCCAGGCGAGGUUCCACUACAUAUCUCGUCCAGACAAAAAUGUUUAGCUUAGAUAAAAAUAGUGUUAGCAUGUCACAUAAGAACCUCUUAAACGAUUUUUGUCUAAUUUAACGAUAAAUCUCUAUUUGAUCCAGUUAAGACACCAAAUAAAUAAAAAUCCUAUUUGCGAUUCUGAAAAAAAAAUAAAAAUCUGUUGAAACAUUAUACCUGUGGCGUGUGCUACAUGCCAGUUUCAUAAUGAAUUUUAGUACGGUAAUAUUUAGUGCAACACGUUACAUUGAAACCAAUCAUUAAUUUAUUUAAAAAGUGAUUCCUUUCUAUGAAUGGUAAUGUACAUUGAAACUCUAUGAAGUAGUGUAGGUGGCCUGCUUCAAUUAAAAAAAAUUGCUGACUAAUUUUUCAACUCAUUUCACAUAACAUUUUACUCACGUUUGCAAAUCAAUAAUGAAAAUAAAAAAUAUUCAUAAUUUUAUUAAAUACAAACAUGUUAAAAAUUUCAUAACAGUUAACUAAAUCAAUAAUGAAAAAUAAAUUUUAAGUAAUUAAAACUGCCAAAAAUACAAAGACCCUUUUGCAAUAAAACUUAAUUAAUCACAAAAUGAACACAAUAUUUAUAUUUUUGGGCACAUCAUAAAUUAUAGAUACAUUUUAAAACAAAUUUUUAUAACAUAAAAUAUUGGGGCCAGCCUAUUGUGCUAUAUGGUUGACUCGCCCAGGCUACAGAUUAUAUGAAAGAGACUAAACGAAGUAACAAACCAAAAUACUUUAGAUUGCCUCACUUUAUAUAUAUAUAUAUAUAUAUAUAUAUAUAUAUAUAUAUAUAUGGGGUUUGCUAACUUGCGUAUGCCUGUUUUUCAGUUGGUACAUUUUAGCAAUGUGUACCGGGUUUCAGUAGACAAAAAUACCCUUAUAUCAUGAAUUCUAAGUNNNNNNNNNNNNNNNNNNNNNNNNNNNNNNNNNNNNNNNNNNNNNNNNNNNNNNNNNNNNNNNNNNNNNNNNNNNNNNNNNNNNNNNNNNNNNNNNNNNNNNNNNNNNNNNNNNNNNNNNNNNNNNNNNNNNNNNNNNNNNNNNNNNNNNNNNNNNNNNNNNNNNNNNNNNNNNNNNNNNNNNNNNNNNNNNNNNNNNNNNNNNNNNNNNNNNNNNNNNNNNNNNNNNNNNNNNNNNNNNNNNNNNNNNNNNNNNNNNNNNNNNNNNNNNNNNNNNNNNNNNNNNNNNNNNNNNNNNNNNNNNNNNNNNNNNNNNNNNNNNNNNNNNNNNNNNNNNNNNNNNNNNNNNNNNNNNNNNNNNNNNNNNNNNNNNNNNNNNNNNNNNNNNNNNNNNNNNNNNNNNNNNNNNNNNNNNNNNNNNNNNNNNNNNNNNNNNNNNNNNNNNNNNNNNNNNNNNNNNNNNNNNNNNNNNNNNNNNNNNNNNNNNNNNNNNNNNNNNNNNNNNNNNNNNNNNNNNNNNNNNNNNNNNNNNNNNNNNNNNNNNNNNNNNNNNNNNNNNNNNNNNNNNNNNNNNNNNNNNNNNNNNNNNNNNNNNNNNNNNNNNNNNNNNNNNNNNNNNNNNNNNNAACUUUUUUCGAAAGGUGAAUAUGACUCAACUCUUUACAAAAGUAAAUCGUUUAAUAAUGAAUGUUUUUUUAGUUGGGGCUAGUGCAAAGAUGACAGAGAAAAAUGUUUGAGUGAGAGAGAUGAAGGAGAAAUGGUUGAGAGGAAUGAAGGAGGUGGGUAAGGGUUUGGGGUUUUCCUUUUUUAGUUUUGAGAAUGAAAAUUAUUAAAAUAAGACAAGUGUUUCUUAUCUUUUUCAAUUGGAGCUAGAGUAGGGAUGACAGAGAAAAGAAAAUGUUGGAGUGAAAGAGAUGAAAGAGAAAUGGUUGAGAAGAAUGAGAAAGAUGGGUAAGGGUUUGGAGGUUUCUUUUUUUAUUUUUUUAAUUUUGAGAAUGAAAAUUAUUAAAAUACCCUUAACCUUAAAACUUAGAAUUCAUGAUAUAUAAGGAUAUUUUUGUCUACUGAAACCCGGUACACAUUGCUAAAAUGUACCAACUGAAAAACAGGCGUACGCAAGUUAGCAAACCCCUAUAUAUAUAUAUAUAUAUAUAUAACAUUUAAAAAGUGAUAUUCUAACGUUUUAAACCUCUUUGACAUCUGAAACUAUGACAUCAUAGGUGAAUACAUUUUCAAUUUUGUGCCAAAUUUUUUUAAAAAAAUUUACUCAAUAUGAUAUUGGAAAUUGAGAAUUUCGAUGUCUAAUGAACAUAUGACAUUGGAAAAAUAUAAAUUUUCACGUUUAAAUUGAACAUCUAUGUAUAAAAAUGUCCUACAUCAAUUUUAAUGUUGACUUUUUCCUAUUUUAAUGUUAAGGUCAAAAUUUUUUUGUACUAAGUAUACUAAAAUAUCACUGAGAUAUUAUUGUUAUGGUUAUUUAUUUUAUUAUUAAUUAAAAAAUAUAUUUUUAGACUUUUAUGAAUAUAAUUAUGGACAUUUUAAUACUCAGUCUACUUGGCUUCGUGAAUUAAAAUCUUGUUAUAAUGAAAAUUUUACAAUGGCUUGAAAAUACGUUCCUUAUCUUUUGGUUUCUCCAUCCCUCACCAUAAAGCGUCUCAUCACAAAGCGUGUUAUUGAACGUCUUAAUUUGAUAUUAUGUGCUGGCAAUUUUUUUGUAGUAAUGGUGUAUUUUUAUUAAAAAUAUCCUCAAAUCAUCCACAAGAUUCCAAAAUGACUCAUUCCCACGUAUCAUCAUUUUCACUUAUUUUCAAAUACGUUAAAAUGAACAGAAAUUUAUCAAUUUAUCCACUUAUUUUCAAAUACGACAAGUAUUUCAAAUUUAUCCAUUUCAAAUACUUUAUAAUUUUUUUAGAAAAUAUUUGUAAUAGAUGUAAAGAUGGUAUGUUUGUGUAUAUAUAAUGUAAUAUUUGAAAAAUUGUUAAAAAACUUAAUAUAUGAUUUUUUACAAAUAUUGAUUCACGUGAAAUCAAACAUCAAUUAUGUUAAGGUUUAAUGUUUCAAUGAUCUCUAUUUUCGUCUAAAAUUUUAAAUAAGUCUCUUGUUUCUUUUGUCUCAAAAGAUUCUUAUUUUUGUUAAUUUUUAUACAAAUAAAUCCUUUCUGUCAAUUAGUGUGUGAGGUGAUUGGGUGACACUGCAGUUUUAAUAUAAGUGUCAAUAAAAAUUUGUGUGAAAUUUGAUUUUUUAAAAUUUAAAAUUAAAGAAUAAAGUAAAUAUAUUAUACUUUGGGUUGAAGUUAAUUAAAGAAAGAGAAAAGUUGGAAAAUGGUAUUCUUCUUUUUUUCUGAAAGCUCCAUUGUAUAUGCAAUUUUAGAAAUCAAAAUCAAAUUUUUGUGACAAUUUUGUACUAAGAGUUUUAUUUAAAUAUUUGGACAUAAGCAUUUUUUACGAAGGUAAAUUAUUUAAUCUAGAUUUGCUGUUUGGAAAAAGUUAGAAUAAAUUGAAUAAAAAAAUAUAAUUGGUUUGGUGAUUGAUAUUGUAAUUGAAAAGACGUGAUAGUAGAAAGUAAAAGAAGAAGAAGAAAGCAAAAACUUAUAUAUAUAUAUAUAUAUAUAUAUAUAUAUAUAUAUAUAUAUAUAUAUAUAUUAUAUAAGGACAUCAUAAAAGAAGGAGAGAAGAAGUAAAUGAGAAGUCACAUACACAUUUUAUUUAAAAUAAGAAAAAGGUUGAAGAUGGAAGAAAGGAAAGAUGAUAAGUAGUCCUUAAUUGGUGAGUCCACAGACAUUAACAAUUUCGUCUAUAAAUCUAUUGACCGGCGGUGCCAGGAUAUAUUCCUUGCCAAUGCAAUUAGCAAUUUGGUGACGACUCCACUGUUCGAUGAGGAACGUUUUUUGUGAACUCUCACCAGAGUUUUUUCGACUUUUAGAGUCUGUCGCUUGAUGAGAAAUGUUCUUUGUAAACUCUUACUGGAGCCUCUUCGACCUAGGGAAUGAUUCCAAGUGAACUCCUAGAGUUUUCCGCUAGGUGAGGAACGUUCUUCGUGAACUCUCAUCGGAGCCUCUUCGACCUAGGGAACGAUUCCAAGUGAACUCCUAGUGUCCGCCGCUCGGUGAAGAACGUUCUUCAUGAACUCUCACCUGAGCCUCUUCAACCUAGGGAACGAUUCCAAGUGAACUCCUAGAGUCCGCCGCUUGGUGAGGAACGUUCUUCGUGAACUCUCCCUUAAGUCUCUUCGGCGUAGGGAACAUUCUAAGUGAACUCGUAGAGUCUACCGCUCGGUGAGGAACGUUCUUCGCGACUCUCACUUGAGUCUCUUCGGCCUAGGGAACAUUCUAACUGAACUUCUAGACUUCGCCGCUCGGUGAAGAAUUCUUUGUGAACUCUCACUUGAGUCUCUUCGACACAGGGAACGUGAACGUUUUAAGUGAACUCUUAGAGUCUGUCGCUCGGUGAAAAAAAGAAUGAAGACUGAAUCAACUUAUCAAUGGGGUUAGUGGAUCGGUCGAGGCAACCGCUUUAGGGAAUUAAAGACUAGUUAAUAGUGCAUCGGUCAUUUAUGGGCAUUUAAGAGGUAUAUUAUCAAACAUUAAUGGUUUGAUUGUCAUAUCAAAUAUGAAUAUAAGGCAUUAAUGAUUUGAUUCUCGUAUCAAAUAUGAAUAUACUCAAAUAUGAAAAUAAAACAUUAAUGAUUUGAUUGUCAUAUGAAAUAUGAAUAUAUAUCAUUAAUGGUUUGAUUGUCAUAUCAUAUACAAUAUUAAUGGUUAAUUAAUAGGNUUGAUUGCUAUAAGUCCUAUAAAUAUAUCAUUAAUGUCCAAACACAUUUUUUCUAUCCUAACUCAAAUUGACACUUCUUUAAGAAACAUAUCUUCCUUGAGUGUCAGAAUAUCUUCUAUAUAUUAACAAAACAACCGAUCCGAGUGAAUUCACGUUCUUGAAGUAGAUUGGACAAUCAAAAUAUAGAACAACAAUCGAUUAAAGUGAAUUCACGUUCUUGAAGUAAAUUAGACAAUCAAAAUAUAAAAACAUAACGAAAAGCACAACCGAUUCUCGACCCCUCUCAAUCCAAAUAUUAGUAAAUAUAUAUUUUCAUUGAAAAUACCUUCUAAUCGUCNCACUUGAGACAAGAUUAAAAAAUGACUCAUUUUCAAAUGAUUCAUUUAUCCACGCAUCUGUCUGCGACUUUUGCAAAUAGUGAUUCACGUGUAAACAAACACGAAUAUUUUCUAUAGAAGAGUUGACCUAAUGUUAAACAUUCAUGAAUUGUAUUGUGUGGNGUCUGCUACCUGCGAGUUUGAUAAUGAAUGAAUCGCUUUUUGGUACGGUAAUAUAUAGUACAAGACGUUACAUUGAAACCAUCCAUUAUAAUUGGAUUAAAAACUGAUUCCUUCUCAAUCUGUUAGNNNNNNNNNNNNNNNNNNNNUUUUUUUUUUAACUUAACAAACAAAUUCAUUCAAUAAUCCUAUAAGGCAUAGAUUAAUGGAUUUUAUACAUACAUAUAAAAUAAUUCACCAAUGUUGGAGCAUUCUCUACCAAUGUUCCCAUUUCCUACCAUCAUGUACAUUUAUUAAAAAAAAAAAAUACUUUUAACAUCUAUUAUUUUUUAUUUUUGACGUCACAGAAAUCACUGAUCUCAUUCAAAUCGACGUUGAAAUUAAAAACAAACGUUUAAACAUUGAUCAUUCGACGUCCCUUGGGAACAGUUACUACAACACAUGAAGAUUCAAUUAACCAAUUUCAAAUUAAAAUCAAGCAACAUUUGACAAGUGUUAGUAUACGACAAAUGUAAUGUUACUGUUUUCUUUUUUAAUUUUGAUUAUAUUUAUAAUUUACCCUUAUUUAAAAAGCAGAAAAUAUUUUCUUGUUUGUUGGAUUGGGCGACUUUUAUGUUGGAUUGAUUAUACUGAGAAAGAAUCGGUAGUCCUAAACAGAAUCUCCUUGUUUGUUGUUUUCAUUAUAAUCUAAUGUUAUAUUGCUUAGCUUCGUUUGUUUAAUUAAUGUUAAUUAUGUUAGUGUUUUUCGAGGAAUUCGGACAUCUUGGUGUCCAAAGCUUGAGAGGUUGAGAAUGGUAUAUAAUGCAGUUUUCGUUGUGGUGGUUGAUGAAGCAGCCACCGAUUUUCUAACUUUUUUAAUUAGUAUUAAAACGAAAACAAUACAUGUCAUCAUUUUAUAACAUCAAUAAUAAUUAACAUCUAAAUAUUUAUUUAUUUUAUAAAAAAUAAAAUAUAUUAUUUAUUUAUUAUUAUUAUUAUUAUUUCUUUAAAUUAUUAUUCAAUAAGAAAUAUAUAAAUAAAUAUUUUUAAUUCAUUCAAAAAACAUUUCAUAUUAUUUUUUAAACAUUAUAAAAGCAAUUUUGCAAUCUUUAUUUUGUAUAUAUUAAAACUUUAUUUUAUUUAUCACAUCACUUAAAUCAUUCACAAACUUUCAUCUUCAAAUCUUUUCAAAGAAACAAUAUCAACUUUACUUCUAAAUUUACUCAAAUCUUUACUCUAUCUUAAAUCCAUCUUAUUGAUCCUAAAACAACCACUAAAAUAAUUUUUUUGCUGUAUAAAUAUUUUUUAUUUAAUUAUAUUAGAAAACAUAAACAGAAUUUCGCAAAUAUUUUCAUAACUCUUUUUAUACAUUAUGAAUAUAUUUUCUGUAAUCUUAGAGAUGUUCUAUAAGACAAAAACAACAUCUGUGUUAAAUGCAACAAAAAUAUGUUUUUAAUUAUAAGAUUAAGUCAAUUCGACGUCACUUGACUUCAGUUAAAUGGGAGAGUUGAUUUCAAUGUGUUACUUACAAUUAUUUUUUUAUNGAUAUUUUGUUAAAUAAGUUAAUUUGUGUAUUAAUUAAAUAUCUUUAGUUUUAAGAGGUCAACCUCCCUACUCAACUCAUUUGGCCUCAUACUCAAUUUUAGAGGUCAACUUUAAUAUUAAUUAUUUGUCAUAUUUAUAAAUUUCUUUCAAUAAUAUUCUUACAAUUUUGUACUAAGAGUUUUAUGUAAAUAUUUGGACAUAAGCAAUUUUGACGUUGGUGAAUUGUUUUAUCUAAAUUUGCUCUUUGGAAAAAGUUAGAAUAAAUUGAAUAAAAUAAUGUAAUUGGUUUGGUGAUUGAUAUCGUAAUUUGAAGACGUGAUAGUAGAAAGUAAAAGAAGAAGAAGAAAGCGGAAACUUAUAUAUUUGAUCACAUAUAUAUUAUAUAAGGAGAUCAUGAUAAAAGAAGUCACAUAAACAUUUUAUUCAAAAAAGAGAAGAAAAAGUUGGAAGAUGGAAGAAAGGAAAGAUGGUAGGUAGUCCUUCAUCCAAUAAGGGUGGAAUAGAAGGAGUGUAAAACAAAAUAAGAAAGAAAGAAACAUUGGAAUAUGUGACUGACAGCGGGGAUGAUAUCAACCUUUAUAGUCUAAUGUUGUCUAAUACUCUUAAGGUUUGAGUUCACAGAUAUCAUCCACAAUUAAUGUUACGGGAAUGUCCACAAAACCAGUGGGAAAGGACGUGGACAUGGGGGAAACAAUGACGCCAGCACUAAGGGCAUCAUAAAGGCAAUCAAGAGCUUGUGAAAUAUUCAAGUCCAUAAGGGAGGAGCAGCAGGAACGAAAGCGGGGUGAGGGAGGUGCAACAGCCUCUAAAGCAUCCAACAAACUCAUAGGAGGAGUGGGAAUGCAAUGUUCAGUACCAGGAAAGCAGAAUGGCCAAGGUUUACGCGCCACAUAAGCAACCAACAAACUCGUACAUGAACUCAACUCUUCCACUGCAAAAGUUUUAGGACAGUCACUUCGAGACCUCACCAUUGAGACCGAUACCAGACUCAGAGAGAGGAAGACUGCCAAAACAUAUUUCAUCCAACCCAUUCUCACAACACUACUUCCUUUCUUUUCUUUUUUAUUCUCAAUCUUUAACAACUCAACAACAAUGCCCUAUUUAUAGAUAACCCUUUCCCUUCAUUAUCAAAAAUAAUACUUUUUUAACUUAACAAACAAAUUCAUUCAAUACUCCUUUUCUUCUUACUCUAUUAUCAUCAUUUUUUUCGAUUUCAUCUUAUUAUUGUAUAUGUUGUAAAAUUCUUCAUCUAACAUCAUAUUAUUAUAAAAUUAUGAAAUACCAAUAAUAAUCAUAUCAUUUCAUUUCAAAAAUAAAUAUUCAAUUAAAAUAUUUUUUUAAAUACUUAAUACACCAUUAAAAUUUAACUAAAAAGUUCUCAAAUUAAUUAUUAAUUACGUUGUGUGCCGUCUUCUCACUACCAGUUUUUCUUAAGGUAAUAAUUCCUAUUAAUUAUUUUUUCUGAAAAGAGACUACUUUUAAAAGAGCUCCUAGUAUUUACUUUCGCACUAUGUAGCGUUUUCAUAAUUUCGCUCUUACUCCAUUCGUGCAUAUUCCCUCGGUUGUAUUUGCUUUCGCACUAUGUGUCGCAUCUUGUGUAUUGGCAAGUGGAGUGGUGUAUUCGAUUUCAUCUCCAUGGUAUUCGGUUCCUCAUUCAUAAAUUUUUGUGUAUUCGUAGCAACUAUGAGACGAUGAUGAUGAAAGAGAGCUCUGUACAUCUAAUAUUUACUUUUAAAUGUCACUUAUCAUAUAAGAUAUAUAAUAUUAAAAAAGUUUAUACAAAAAUAAAUUUAUAAGAAUAGCUCCAAAAAAUUCCGUGGAAAAAUAAUUUGUAUAUAAUAUCAGAAAUAAUUAUUUUUAUUACAAUUUGUUUAUAAUAUGAGAAAUAAUUUGUUUAUUAUAUUUUAAAAAUAAUUAUUUCAAUUUACUAAAUUAUAAUUUUUUAAUAUUUUUAAAAUUAAUUUUAAUAAUUAAUUUUAAUUUUUUUCUCUUUAUAAAAUUUUUUAUCAUUAAAUAUAACAUUAAUAAUUAUUACUUUAUAUUAUUUUUAUAGCUAGGGAUAUUUUUAUUAAUCUUCAAUUUUUAUUAAUUAAACAAUUUUUAUCUGUCACAUCGGUCAAAUCUUAUAUUAAUUAUCACAUUCAAAUUCACUCUCACUCAUCUUCAAAUCCACUCAAAAAUAACUAUCAAUUUAUCCUCAAAUUCAUUUACUCAUUCUCUUUCAAAUCAAUCUUUUAAAGCGAACACAAUCUUAAAUAUGGUUAUCAUAAUACAAUAACAUUCAAUUUAGUUCAUUUCAAACUAAAAUUUGACAAAAUUUAACAUUUUUAACACAUUAAAAGAUGUUACAUGUUGCCUUUUUCUUUUUUCUAAUUUUUUUUUACAUUUACUAUUUAUCCCAACCUUAAAAGCAUAAAAAUAUUUUAGCACAAUUCAAAAAAUAUUUAGGAUCACAUAUUAUAUAUCAAAACUAAAAUUAUUAACAGAAAAUAUAACUACUAAACACUAAAAUUAUGAAAAUUAAAACUAUUAAGAUAAAACUAAAAUUUCCAUAAUUAAGAUGUUAUCCUAAAUAUUUUUCAAACAAAAACCUAAUGUUAUUGGAUGUCCUGUUCUGACAGUUAAAUUUAUCAUAACUUAACUUAAUUAUUAAUUAUGUUGGAUGUCGUGUAUGACUGCCAAUUUCAUAAUGAGUUUUUCAUAAGAUAAUAACUCCUAGUAAUUUGCUUAAAAAAUAUUCAUUCUUAAUUAUUAAUUAUUAGGCUUAAUAUUUCUUUUAGUUUCUUGAAAGACGUGUUGUGUUCAAAAUAGUUCUAUCUUUUUUAAAAAGUAAUAAAUAUUCUAAUUUUUUUAAAAAAUAAGUUAAUCUUUUUUGUUUACGCGUCAAAAAUUAAAUGGUGCAGUUGUCCCCUUGAACAAAACUUGAUGAAUUGUCCAUUUUUUUCUCAUACGUGACACAACUUAAGUAAUAUGACAUGUCAAUCACGACCAACUACCAUCAUCUUCUCCGCUAGAAUUCCGAAAUCACAGCCAGCCACCAUAACUAAUGUUCAUCUCCUUCCUUGCAAUUCAACCACAGUGAAACUUGUAAUACCAAAUCUACGAUCAAAUCGCGCAUCUCCUUCACCACAAAAUUAUCUAUCAACCUAAAGCAAAGACGCAAUUGCGAAUGAUCAUUUGGCUGUGAGGAAGGUGACGGGUUUCGCUGUGAGGAAGGCAGAGGAAGAGCGGUUGAUAGCGUCUUUGAGAAGAUAGGCCGCUUUGAGAUCGGUUUCCUUGUCGAUGACGUGGUCGAGGCUUUGAGAAGACAGUACCAAUGCCUCCGUUCAUGGUGGCUGGCCAUGAUUUCGAAAUUUUGGCAGAGAAGAUGAUUGGCUGGCCGUGUUUGACACCUCAUAUUACCUUAGUUGUGCCAUGUACAAGAAAAAAUGAACAGUUCAUCAAGUUUUGUUCAGCAGAUUUGAUGUUGUAAGCAAAAAAGAUUAACUUGACUCAUUUUUUCAAAAAUUAAGAUCAUUUGUUAUAUUUUAAAAAAGAUAAGACCAUUUUGAACAACUCUUCUUUCGAGAGAGAAAAAAAAAAGGUACUAAGCCUAAUUAUUAUUAGAGCUCCUAAACAAGUAAAAGCUCUAAUAAUUAUUUGUUUAAUUGUAUAGCCCACCUAGUGUCGUAAAAUUAGACCCACCCCUUUAAGUUCUAAUAAUCAUUUUAUAUUAGUAUUUAAGAUUGAAAAAAAUCUAUUAAAACUACUUUUCGGGUGUUCCUUUGUUUACCCUUGAGAAAUCAAGACAACCCUUCCCAUUAAUUAUCACAAAAAAUUAGACAACACUUCUUUUCUUUUUUACAUUCUUAACAAACAAAUUCAUGUAAUAGUAUUUUUUAUAUUAUAUAAUAUUAUAAUAACAAUAAUAUAUUAUAUAAAUAAAUCAAUGACAUAAUUAAUUAAAGUUAAUUUAUUAACAUUUACGAUAGCAUUUAAUAAAAUUAUGUUAUUUCUUUUUAAAUAAAAGUAUAUCAUAAUGGUGUAUACAAUUUCUCAUACUUACAAAAUAAAGUCAUUAAAUUAAAAAUAAAUUUGAAUUAUACAACCUUUAAUGUGAAUAUUUACUGUAGAAGAGCUGACCAAAGAAUUCUGAAUAUAAACCUUAAAAAAUGAUAUUGUGUGGCGUGUCCUACCUGCGAGUUUUAUAAUGAAUUUUGGUACGAUAAUAGUUAGUACAAUACGUUACAUUGAAACCAACCAUUAAUUAGUGAUUCCUUCUUAUGAAUGGUAAUAUUGCCCCGUCUGUCCCGUUUAAACUCUUUAGUAUAUUGAAACUCUGUAAAGUAGUGUAGGUCGGCCCGCUUCAAUUAAAAAUUGCUGACUAAUUUUUUUAACUCAUUUCACUUAACAUUAUACUCACGUUUGCAAAUCUGCCCGUAAAGAAAUUACAUCUUUUUUUAUUUUCUUACUUAUUAUAUAACAUAAUAUGAUUUUAAUACUUUUAUUUUUAUUUAAUUAAAUUAGUUAAAAUAUAAAUUUUGUAAGCCUAUUUUUUAAAAUAAAAAUAUUCAUAAUUUUAAUAAAUACAAACAUGCUAAAAAUUUCAUAACUUAACUAAAUUAAUAAUGAAAACUAAAUUUUAAGUAAUUAAGAUUAUCAAAAAUAACCGAGAAAUCGAAAACCCUUUUAAUAAAACUUAAUUAAUCAAAAAAUCAAUACAAUAUUCAUUUUUUUGGAUACAUCAUAAGUUAUAGAUACAUUUUAAAACAAAUUUUCCUACAUAAGAUAUUGGGGUCAGCCUAUUGUGCUAUGUGGUUGACUCGCCCAGGCUACAAAUUAUAUGAAAGAGACUAAACGAAGUAACAAACCAAAAUACUUUACCUUCCCUCACACUUUUUUUUUUUAAUUAUAAAUCAUAUUUUAAUUUAUUUUAAUUAUCAUUUCAAAAUCUAUUUAUGAAGAUAAGAAAUUUGUGCACACUACACAUCAUCUCAUGCAUUUAGAUAUUUAAUCCUUCCAUAUAAUGUUUCUAUACAUUAAAUAAUAAAAUAUAUUUUAAUCUAAAAUUUUUAUAUUUAAUUACUUAAAUAUAUAUAAUGUUUUAUUCUCUCUUAACUUAUCUCUAUUUAGAUCACAUCGAGGCCUCUCAUACCUACCUCAUCAUUAGAGAUGGCAAAAAAAUUUAUGUAUGUGAAUAUCUGUGUAUAAAAUCUGAGACGAAUAGUUAGUUUCAACAUAUAUUUACUACUUGUGGAUUGCGGGUAACGGAUAUUUUAAUUCAUAACAUAAACUCAGUUAAUUUUUUAAAGAGGUGCCUAUAGAAUAUAUGAUUAGAUUUGUAUUUUUCGGUGAAAAAUCUAAGUUAAUUCACAACAGAGUUUAAAUUUAAAUCUAUUACUUAAUAACAAAUUUAAAAAACUCAAAAUAACAUACUUAGAAAGCUUAUUAUUUUGUAUGGAUUUCAUUUUAUUUUGUUGAAAGAACAACAUUAUUCUUUCAAUACAAUUCUCUAUAAAUGUAUACAAUGCUAUAUGUUCUUAAACUCCGUGUGAGUUCUAUUUUGUUGUUGGUACGCAAUCCUUCCUUUUUUUGUUAUUUUGUUGUUCGAUUGGUUAAAUUUUUUCUUGUGUUACAUAUAUCAUGCCAACGAGCUAGAACAGACCAACCGACAAUUAAUGUUGUAACAGAGAUCGGUUUUCAAAAGAAAAAAUCUCUUUAACGAUUCUUUUUUAACAACUUUUUUAUAACGGAUAUGUGGCAGCUUAUGAUUGGUUCAUUUCAAAUAUUUUUUUAAAAUAAAUUCAAACAGACAAAUGAAAUGGUGACACGUGUUCUGUUAUAAAAAAAGUGGUUAAAAAGUGUGUUAAAAUAUCAUCUUCCAUUUUCAAAAGGCUCUCAACCAGGCGACAGAUAAUAGCGUCCCUUUGGAGGAGGGAAAGUUUGAUGUGCAAAAGGCCUUCUAUAAUGGGAACUAAUGCACAUCCAGAACAUACCCAAUGAAGAUGAUUUCGUUGAAGACGGUGCUGAGAUUCCUCCUCCUGAUCACUCUGAAGCCGCUCAAGAUAUCACUUCCCCACCUGAAUCAUAGUUUUUUUUUAUUUUAGUAGAGUUGAAUCGAUUUUUUGAUUUUGCUUGCUGGUCGAUCGUAGUAGGAUAAACGUCUUUUUUACACAACUCAGUUUGAAUUAUGAAACGUUUACUUGCUUGUUCAUUCCUUUUUUUUUAAGUUCUUGCACUUUGUCAUUUACAUUUAUUCAACUCGUUCACUUGAUUAGAGUACGCUUAGGGUUAUCAUUAUCGCUUGAUCGCUGUUUAUUUUUUUACGUAGGUGUUCCCUUUCCUAUGGCUCUCUGCUUAUUUAUUCAAUGCUACGAUGAAAGGGAAAUUGGUUUGGGUGGAAAUAAAUCAAACACAUUAGUAUGAGUAUAAAUCAAACAAUAAUCAAACAGACUAAAGGUUUCGGAAAGCUUUAGGCCUUUAGUUAAGGCCUAGUCAACAUUUCAGUACCCGAAGCAACAAAUCCCCAAGAAAUUCUUCUAUUUGACCCUUAAUCUAUUAAAGUAAUUAAUUAUAUCAUAUAUCAUGUUUUAAAUCUUGUUAUUUUUAUACAGUAUAUGAGAAACUAGAAGAUGGUUCUGCAUCCUUGUUUGGGCUGUGAUCUUGAUUAGUUUACCUCAUAUACAACUUUCUUAGUGAAUUACACAUUAAUUAGACAUGGAAACCUUAAAUUAACCUAGUUAAGUAGGAAAAACUUAUGCCUCUUUCUGUUUCUAUUAGCUAUUUCCUAUUUCCACGUGAACAACCAGCUCCUAGUCCAUGAAAAUUAACAAUCAAAAUGUACAAGACGCUAAGCAAGAACACACUAUUUAGGAUUAUUUUGGUUUGAAUAUUGAUACCAAAGAUUAUAUUUGCUUAAGUUAAUUGAGUUUGGUAUUGUUUGACUUUAUAUUUGUAUAUAGUACAUAUUGUGAUAUGUUUACAUGUAUUGAAUAUUUGAUAUUAUGUCUCUGGAAUUUUAAUUGACACGUCCGUUUGUGAUUUAGAAUGUUUAUACAAAUUUGUCUGUAUUGUUAUAUGCAGUAAAACGAUACACAAAGCUGACAUUAAAGUCUUUAUAAUUUUUACUGACGGAUUAAUUUGUAAGUAAAAUACAUCUUUGAAUUAUUAACAAAUUUAGUAUUUGUCGAUAAGUAUUUAUGACUACGUUAGUCAAUAAGGAUAUGCUUCUGAGUUCUACCAUUUUUUUCAUACAAUUUUCCAUAAACGUAUAUACAAAGUUCUAUAUAGGUUACUUAAACUCCGCGUGAGUUCUAUAUCUAUCCUUUGUAAUCCAAAAAUCUCCAACAGUAUUUUUUUUAAUCUCCAUUAUGUCAUAUUUAUAAAUAUCGUUCAAUGAUUCUUACCAAUUUUUGUGAUAAUUUUGUAUAUUAAAGACUUUUAUGAAAAUGUUUGUACAUAAGCUGUUGGAAGUCUCAUAUCGACUAAAGGUAAAGCUAAUUUAUAAUAUAUAAGUGAGGUGCAAACCUCACCUUACAAGCCAGUUUUGUAGGAUUGAAUUAUGCCUAAAACCCACUUCUAACAUGAUAUCAAAAAAAUAUGAGUAUAAAAUACGAAGCGGAUCAUUGUAAUUUGAAGACGUGAUAGUAGAAAGUAAAAGAAGAAGAUAGCAGAAACUUAUAUAUUUGAUCACAUAUAUAUAUAUAUAUAUAUAUAUAUAUAUAUAUAUAUAUAUAUUAUAAGGAGAUCAUCGUAAAAGAAGUGACAUAAACAUUUGAUUUAAAGGAAGAAAAAGGUUGGAAGAUGGAAGAAAGGAAAGAUGUCCUUGAUCCAAUAAGGGUGGAAGAAGGAAUGUAAAACAAAAUAAGAAAAAAAAACAUUGGAAUAUGUGACUGGCAACGGAAAUGAUAUCAAUGCUUGAUUCCACAGGCCUUAACAAUUGGGUUUACGAAUGCAUAGAAUUGGGCAAGUGGUGUGAAGAUAUAGUAGUCAUUGAAAAGGCAAUCAAAAGUUUGGCGACGACUCAACCCCCGAAGGCGGGAGCAGCAAGAAGAAGAGUCCCCAGUGAAGGUUUUUGUAUCUAUAAGGUAGUCUAACAGAUUGUGACAAUCCCUAACCAACUCAGUUGUAUGGACACAGUUGGUUUAGGACAUGUUUCAUUCAGACUUUCAGACCUCACCAUUGAGAGUGAUAGCAGACUGAGAGAGAGGAAGACUGCCAAAACAUAUUUCAUCCAACCCAUUCUCACAACUUAAUAUAAGUUAAAGAAGCUAAAAGUGGCAUUUUAUCCUCAUCACCAAAGUGUUUGCAGUGAUUAGGUCUUGCGUGAAAGAACAGUAAAAACCAAAAAAUGAGUCUUGUAUUGUUUUGUUUAUGAUUUUAAAACAUAUUUGGCUUCAGACUAGAGAAUGACUAACGCAAUUAUGUUUUUUUUAUGUCGGAGCUAGGUCAAUUCAUCGUCACUUAGUGUCAGUUAAAUGUCACUGGUUAUUUUUUAUGUUUUUUUUUUUUCAAAAACAAACAUUGGUGUAAGUAUUUUUGGUGUUAGUACUUUCCACAAGGUCAUACUUUUUCUCACAAACUAUGAAAACUAUCUUUUGAGACAAAACUCGUAAAAAUGUUUCUGUUUUUGCUGUUUAAUCUUUGCAGGCUAGUAUAGGAAAAAGCACCAUCCACCCCAUUUUGAUAAUAUAUGUUUAUAUAUAAGGAGAUGAUAAAAGAAGGAAAGAGAAAGUAAAUAAUGAGAAGUCACAUAAAGAUUUUAUUUAAAGAAGAAGUUUGAAGAAGAUGCAUAAAAGGAAAGAUGGUAGGUAAUCCUUGAUCCAAGGGUGGAAGAAAAAGUGUAAAAGAAAAGAAGAGGGAAAAGCGUAAAAGAAGAAAGAAAGAAACAUUCGGAUAUGUGACUGCAAGCGGGGAUGAGAUCAAGCCCCGUCGGUGAGGUUACAGGUAGUAAUAAUCUUGCCUAGGAUUACGUUAAAAUCUAUGAUCCUCCAGAUGGCGGGGACGUUGAAUACAGCGGGGACGUUGAAGAAACCUAAAAAUGCUACGGCCUCUCUUACGCAAAUUCCAGCUUGGGAGGCACUCGAAAAGAGGGAGCAGCAGGAUGGGAGUAGCCCAACAUAUUUCAUCCAACCCAUUCUUACAACACUACUUCCUUCCUUUUCUUUUUUAAUUCCAAUGAUUAACAACUCAACACCAAUGCCCUAUUUAUAGCUCACACUAACUUCUGCUUUUCCUCUUCAUCAUUUAUUUUCACUUAACCAAACUAAAACUAGAUAACCCUUUCCCUUACUUAUAAAAAAUAAUACUUAACAAACAAAUUCAUUCAAUAGUAGUCCUUUUAUUUUACUCUAUGACAUUUUUUUUUUUCGAUUUCAUCUAAUUAUUGUAGAAACAUAUCAAUAUAUUUAUGCUGUAAAAGUCUUCUAUUACCAUCAUAUUAUUAUAAAAUUAUAAAAUGCCAUAUUGUAAUGAUUAAAUAAAAUAAUAAUCAUGUCACCUAACUUAAAAAAUAAAUAAUAAAUAUUCAUCUCAUGCAUUUAGAUAUUUAAUCCUUCCAUAUAAUGUUUCUAUACAUGAAAUAAUAAAAUAUAUUUUAAUCUAAAUUUUUUAUAUUUAAUUACUUAAAUAUAUAUAUAUAUAUAUAUAUAUAUAUAUAUAUAUAUAUAUAUAUAUAUCUACACUAUCUGAGUUAUAAAAUUUUGUAGUAAAAGUUUAAAAACAUAAUUCAAGAUGAAAUAGCCUUUAUCCGUAGAUAAAAAUUAUUGAUAAUUUAAUUUAACUGAAAUCUUUGGUUUUACAGUAGAUAUCACGAGUUUUUGCAACAAAAAAAAAAAAACUAUAUAUUCAUGAUAAAACUAAGGACAUUAUAUACUUAUAAUCCUAUUUUAAUUUAUUUUAAUUAUCAUUACAAAAUCUAUUUAUGAAGAAAAGAAAUUUGUGCACACUUCACAUCUGAUGCAUUUAGAAAUUUGUGCAAAAUUAAUUUUCGUAACUUAAUUUACGUAUAAGUUAAUUUCUAAAAAGAAAUCGUACUAACGUUUUGAGAAGUUUCUCUCAAACCUAUGUAUGUAUAGUUUAAUUUCUGAAGAAAUUUCAGGAAAAAAUAUUUCAUGAUAAGUUUAGUGAUGAAAUUAUAAACUAUUAAUCAAAGCAAUACGUACAUAUUGAUUACAAUUUUAAACUAUCAUAGUAUAAUUUGUUUUUCAAUAUCACAUAUGAUAGUUUUCCUCCAAUGAAAAAAAUUAUAAAAUUAUUAAAUAUUUAUAAUUUAUAUUUUUAAAACUACUUAUAGUUUUUUUUAUCUAUGUUUAACUAAAAAUACUUUUAAUUUUCUGCAUAUAAUAAGUAUGUUUUUUUUUCUAAUUCUUUUACGUAUAAAAGAAGGAAUACAUGUUAUAUUAAAUAAAAUAAUUACAUAUUGAUUGUAUUAAUUAUUACAUCCAAGAGACAAAAAAGAAAAUGCAUGGCUACCGAACGCGAAAUGUAAAAGAGUUACGAAAUUUAGCUUUAUCACAAAAAUAACAAUUCUUAAUUGAAAAAUGAUAUUUUAACACCAUUUUUUGACAUUGUACCCGAGUCAAAAUGUGAUUGGCCGAUUUCAAAUUAGAAAAGUUGAGGCAGGAGUAUAUUUGGAAGAGAAAGACCAAAGUUUGUUUUUUUAAUUUGAAAUCGUCCAACCAUAUUUUGACAGGUGUGCAGUGUCAAAAUGGUAUAAAAAAACAGGUGUUAAAAUAUCAUUUUUCUUUCUAAACGAUUCAAUUUGAUUUUUUUGUUAGAUUGAGAUUAAUGCCUUAUUCACUAGAUACUAGUGAAUUGAUUAAAUUUUCAAUUUUUUUAAUUUUAAAGAAAACAAAAGUUUUUAUAUGUCACUAUUACUUGCUGUCAAUAUUAGUGUUUCUUUUCCAAAUUUAUAACUUUGAUUCAAUUUAUUUAUUUUUUUAAUUUUCUUAUUUAUAACUUUGAUUCAAUUUAAUUUUUUUUUUUAAUUUUCAUAUUUAUAACUUUGACUCAAUUUAAUUUUUUCAAUGAAAUAAUUUAGUUUUUCUUCAAUAUGAAACUAAAUUAACAAUUAAUAUUAAUUCCAAUUUAGAUAUAUAUGAUGAAAUAUAGGUUAAAUAUAUGUUUUAGUCCUCAUAUUUGUUCCCCAUCAAUUAGGUUCUCAUGUUUUUUUUUGUCCCAAUUGCAUCCUAAUAUUUGUAAAUUUGAGGAAUUAAGCCCUCUCUGUUUUUUUUUUGUCCUAAUUGCAUCAUAAUAUUUGUAAAUUUGAGGCAAUUAAGCCCUCUCAAUUGGCCUACGACGUGUGGCCAGUUAAUGGAAAGGGCUUAAUUGUCUCAAAUUUACAAAUAUUAGGAUGCAAUUGGGACAAAAAAAAACAUGAGGAACUAAUUGAGAAUGGAGAACAAAUAUGAGGACUAAAAGAUAUAUUUAUACAUAUGACCCUCUAUUAAAAAUUGAAAUUAAUUUUUUAAUUUUUAUGUUUUUACAUAAAAAAUUCCUUAGAUAAACUUAUAUUUUUUUAAAAAUAAUAAAAAUAUAAUUGUAAAGUUAAAAAAAUUUAUCACAUUAAACAUUUAAAUUUAUAUUUUUAAUUUAUUUUGAAAACUAUAAGUUUUAAUAGGGAUUUCUUGUAAAAAUGUAAAAGAUAAAUUAAUUUAAAUAUUUAGGUAGCAUGAUUUUAAGUGUAAUUUGAAAAAAAAUAUUAAUACGUAUAUAUAGAUUAUAAUUAGGUUUAAUUAUUUGAUCUCAUUUAAAAAAAACUGAAUUAUUCCAGAUUAAAUUAAUCAAAAUAAUAAUAUGAGAACGAAAUUGAAAAUCAAUACGGUAAUGUGACAUUUUCUGUUUUUUCUUUUAAUUAAAAAAUUAAAAAAAAAGUUAAAUUUUUUUAAAAAAAUUCUAUAACACGUAAUAUAUAUAGACUUGAUAUUAAUUUCAAUCUAACGAUCGAAAAUUAAAAAAAUUAAAUCAUUUAAAAAAACAAAACUAAAUUGAACCAAAAAAAAGCAAAAUAACGUAAUUUGACCAAUCGAAAAAAUAUGGAACAAGUCUAUAACUAAGAAAAAAAAUAAUUAUUAUUUAUCAAAAGCAAAAGAAAUAAUGGUUUAUAAUAUUUUAAAACAAAUUAAGUAAAUAUAAUUAUUUUAUUAUCGUAUUUAUGAAAAUAAUAAAUAUAUUACCUAAUUGAAUUAUGUAUAAUAAUCUAAUUGUAUUAUUAUAAAACAUUGUUUAUCUUUUUAACUAUCCUAAUUAGUUUUAUUUUCAUUUUUAGCAUUUAAAUUAUCUAUCGUUAUGGGAAAGUAUUAAAAGAGAUCUUAGAUUAUGUAUAAUUCAUUUAGAAACUAAAAAACAACUAAAUAGGUACGACAUCAUUCUCGAGAUGAACCGAGGCAAUAGACAAUCGAUCAGCCUCAUCAGUUGUGUAAUAAUCAAAAAACUGUUUAGCUUUAAAUAUCCAAUCCAAGACAUUGUGAUUAUCACAGCAUGGAAAAUCAAGCUUCACGUUUCGUAUCUGGAAGGGCGGCCGAGACGAGUUUGAAGCUCCAUGGACGAACCCUGAAGAGAACGCAUGACAUUGUAGCAGAGUCUCCAAAGCCCUAGAAAUACAAUUGAAUCUGGAAUCAUUGGCUUGCACCACUGUCUCAAUACGUUCAAAACGAGCGGCAUUCGCCGAUUCGAGUUUUGCCAUCUGAGUUUGGAGGUCUGAAUAAUAACUCUUCGUGGUUUCAGAAUGUCGUUUAAUAUCUACCUGGAGAUCUUCAAUAGUGUGUUUUCCGCCAUGGUUAAUGAAAACACCAAAUUGUUAAACAAUUAGUAGAACACCGAAUAAAAACGAAAAUGAUUGUACUGUUCUAUUGAAUGUCAUAACCAUUCACUUCAACCAAGGUGGAAGAAAAGAAAUGUACAAUCAGAGGUAAGAGAAAAGCCCACAUUAUAGUCAUAGAGGAAGAUACCAGAAUUCCCAUACCCCUCCUUCUCACUUUCUCUCUCCAUAUAACCAAGAUUUCUUACACAAAAUCCCUCAACAUUCUAUUUGUCCUAACCCCACAUUUCUGAAUUUUAAGAUUGUUAGUAACUACUCCAUCAUUUUUCAUAUUUUGCCCUUUUAUUACAGUAUUAUUAUCUUCCCUGUCAGAUUUUGUAGCUGGUGCCUUUGUUACACAGUGAUCCAACCGUGGCUUAACUAGUCUUAGCGAAUUGGUGAUCAGGUGGUUUAUAAAGUGAAUUGGUGUAUUGUGAGUUUUUGAGAUUUUUAAGGUAUAUUAUGAACAUUUUCAAGUUUGAAGUUUAUAAUUUAUGAAUUUUUGGAUAGAUUUGAUUCAUGCUGUUAGAGAAGUAUACCUGUAUUCUUUUAAAUUAUGUAUCAACUUGGUAAAAUUAUGUUUUUUUUUCCUUUUCAAAGUAAAAUCGUACAUGCUUACAUAACAUUUGACCCAAUUUAUUUAAGGGAAUUUCUUCGUGCACCCCAAUAUUAUGUUUGUUGCACCGUCGUAAUUUUAAAAUUUCAAUUAUAUCUCAUGUAAUUAUAGUUCCGGAUUGUACAAUAUGUAUCCAGAUUACAUAAUGUAAAUUUAUAUUCUGGAUUGUAUAUGUUAUUUUGUAUUCUCGAUAGUAUACUCCAUAAUGUUAUUUUGUAUUUUUAUGGUGUUAAUUGUAAUAUAAUUUUGCAUUUUAAAUUGUAUAAUCUAUAAUACAAAUUUAUAUUUUAAAUUGUACAAUUCUAAAUAAUUUGAAAGUCAAUCUUAAAUGUAAAUUACAUUUUGGAUUGUAUAAUUCAUAAUGUUAAAAAGUAAAUUUUGGAUAUUACAAUCUCUAAUGUAAAUUUGUAAGAUAAUCUGUAAUACAAAUUACAUUUCGGAUUGACGUGAAAAUUGACAUGAUAUGAAGUGUACAGUCUAAAAAUGCAAAAUUGCAUUAUCCUUUAUAUAAUCCAAAAUGUAAUUUACCAUUAUAUAGUUCGUCAUGUGGAUCAUACAAUCUAAUGUAAAUCCAAAACUUACAUUCUACUGUUUUUCAAUCUUUAAUUCUGAGAGAUGUGAAAAAAAACAUGAGUUGUUUGGGAUCAAGAAGUUGAUAGAUAUGUUUUAGUUUCUUUAUUGUCAUCAAAGGCCCGAAAUAAGGCAUGCAUGCGAGUAGAAUGGCAAAAUGUAAAUGGUGAAACCAACAUUUUUUGGGAAAAAACCAAUGAUUCAUCAGCAAAAGCAAAAGUUGUCAUCAUCUGCAUCCAAGCCCUAGGCAACAAUACAUACAAAAUCUAUUGUAUAUAAGAGAUUCUAUAUUUUUAUAGAGGUCCAUUUUUUAGUGUCCUGUUAAAUAUGGUUUGAAAAAAAAAAAGAUAAAGGUAAAAUUGACUUUUCAAGUUGCUUAAAAAAAUGGGGGUGUUGAAAGAAAUUGCCUUUAUUUAAACUAAACUAAUUAAGAUUAGUUUAGUUUGAAUGUUGAUACCAAAGACUAUAUUUGCUUAAGUUAAUUGAGUUUGGUAUUGUUUCACUUUAUAUUUGUAUAUAUUAGUAGUAUUGUGAUAUGUUUACAUAUAUUGUAAAGCUUGGAUGUUGAUGAUUGAAUAUUUGAUAUUAUGUCUAGUAAUAGACAUGUCCUUUUGUGAUUUAGAAUGUUUAUACAAAUUUGUCUGUAUUGUUAUAGGCAGUAAACGGCUCACAGAGCUGACGUUUAAAGUCUGCAUAAUUUUUACUGACGAAUUAAUUUGUAAGUAAAAUACAUCUUUCAAUUAUUAAUAAAUUUAGUAUUUGUCGAUAAUUAUCUGAGACUAUAUUAGUCGAUAAGGAUAUGUUUUUACAUCUAUAUUCGUCUAACAUCUCCUUCUGAGUUCUACCAUUUUUUUUCAUACUAAUUCUCGAUAAAUGUAAACACAAAGUUCUAUAUAUGUUACAUAAACUCGGCGUGAGUUCUAUAUCUAUCCUUAGUAAUAAAAAAAUCUCCAACACAAUUUUUUCUGAAUCUCCAUUAAGUCAUAUUAAUAAAUUUCUUUUAAUAAUUCUUACAAAUUUUUGUGAUAAUAUGUGUACAUAAGCAAUUUGGACGUAGUUGAAUUGUUUUAUCUAGAUUUGCUGUUUGGAAAAAGUAAGAAUAAAUUGAAUGAAAAAAUGUAAUUAGUUUGAUGAUUGAUAUUGUAAUUGAAAAGUUUUGAUAGUAGAAAGUAAAAGAAGAAGAAAGCAGAAAGUUAUAUAUUUGAUUAUAUAUGUAUAUAUUAUAUAAGGAUAUCAUGAUAAAAGAAGUCACAUAAACAUUUUAUUUAAAGUAAGAAAAAGGUUGGAAGAUGGAAGAAAGGAAAGAUGGUAAGUAGUCCUUGAUCCAAAGGUGGAAGAAGGAGUGUAAAAGAAAAGAAGAAAGAAACAUUGAAUAUGUGACUGGCAGCGGGGAUGAGAUCAAGCCCCGGCGGUGAGGUUACAGGCAAUAACAGUCAUUUUUGUCAAUCUACUGUAAGAUUCAGGUUCAGGGGAAGUUUUGUCAUUGCGAAUGCAACUAUAAGCUUGGCGAGGACUCAACCCCUGAAGGCGGGAGCAGCAAGAAGAAGGCUCCGCCUCAUUCACCAGUCUCUCGCACGCCGAAACCAACCCAGUUGUAUUAUUUAUAGGACAUGGCGGAGGCUGAGAUCUCACCAUUGAGACUGAUAGCAGACUGAGGGAGAGGAAGACUGCCAAAACAUAUUUCAUCAAACCCAUUCUCACAACACUACUUCUUUUCUUUUCUUUUUUAUUGCCAAUGAUUAACAACUCAACACCAAUGCUCUAUUUAUAGCCCACAAACUUCUCCUUUUCGAUUUCAUUUCACUUAACAAAACUAAAACUAGAUAACCCUUUCCCUUAAUUAUCAAAAAUAAUACUUUUUUUCAUUCUUUUUUAACGUAACAAACAAAUUCAUUCAAUACUCCAUUUCUUCUUACUCUAUUAUCAUCAUUUUUUUUUGUUAAAUAUGCUUUUGGUUCCUUAACUUUAAAAAUUGAAAUUAGUCUUUUCUAAAACUUUGGUCUAAUUUAAUCUUCCAACUUUAAAAAUGUAUGAAUUUAGUCCUUUUAACUAAAUUUUGUUAUGUUUAUUUAAUGUUGCAAGCACGUAUCAUAAUAACAUUUGGAUUGUUUACACUCUUUGACACAUAUUUGCUUCAAUGUCAACUGAGAAACACGUUCGAAACAUUAAAUAAAGUGAACAAAAUUUGGUUAAAAUGACUAAAUUCAUACAUUUAUAAAGUUGAAGACUAAAUUAGGCCAAAGUUUUAAAGAGAAACUAAUUCCAAUUUUCAAUCAAAGUUAAAGGACCAAAAAUAUAUUUAAUCCUUUUUUUUUUUAGAUUUCAUCUAAUCUAAUUAUUGUACAAACAGAUCAAUAUAUUUAUGUUCUAAAAUUCUUCAUCUAACAUCAUAUUAUUAUAAAAUUAUAAAAUACCAUAUUACAAUAAUUAAAUUCAAUAACAAUCAUAUCAUUUAAUUUCAAAAAUAAAUAUUCAAUUAAAAUAUUUUUUUCUUAAAUACUUAAUACACCGUAAAAAUUUAACUAAAAGGUUUUCCAAUUUAUCAUAAGCUUAACUUAAUUAUUAAUUAUGUUGUGUGCCGUCUUCUGACUGCCACUUUCAUAUAAGGUAAUAAUUCUCAUUAAUUUGCUUAAAAAGUGAGUCCUUCAAUGAUUAUUCGUUUUAUUGUAUAGCCCAACUAGUGUGGUAAAAUUAGACCCCACCCCUUUAUGGCUUAGAUUAAUGGAUUAUAUAUAUACAUAUUUAAAAUGUGUUUUAACUGCAUAAAUAUUUUUUAUUUAAUUAUACUAGAAAAAAUAAAUAGAAUUUUCCAAAAAUUUUCAUACACAAUUAUCAAUAUAUUUUCUGUAAUCUUAACACAGAUGUUAUAUAAGGAAAAAAAAUGGAUAUUUCAAAACUUUGUGUUGAAUCAAUAUUGCAGGGAUUUUGUUGCCAUUUAGAUUGUAUUUUUAUUUUUGGAAUGGUUGUUUGCCGCUACAUCUUAUGAUCUUCCUUAUCCUAUAGUUCAUCCGUCCUGUCUAAUAACAUCUCCUUCUGAGUUUAUGUGUCUUUUGUUUUAUUGCAAGAACAACACUAUUCUUCCAUUCUUUCAAUACAAUUUUCCAUAUAUGUAUACAAAGUUCUAUGUUCGUGUGAGUUUUAUAUCUAUCCUCAAUAAUCCAAGAAUCUCCCACGUAUUAUUUUUUCUGAAUGACCAUUAUGUCAUAUUUAUAAAUUUCUUCCAAUAAUUCUUACAAAUUUUUGUCACCAUUUUGUACAAAAACUUAUGCAAAUGUUUGGACAUAAGCAAUUUUGACGUAGAUGAAUUAUUUUAUCUACAUUUGCUGUUUCAAAUAAGUUACGAUAAAUUGAAUAAAAAUAGGUAUUUAUUUAAAAUGUUUUCACUUAACCACACUAAAACUAGUUUACCCUUUCCCUUAAUUAUAAAAAAUAAUACUUAUUUCCAUUCUUUUAACUUAACAAACAAAUUCAUUCAAUUCAAUAUACCUUUUAUUCUUACUCUAUUAUUAUAUUUGUCUGGAUCGAAUGAGAACUAAUGAUUUUAAAGUGAUUUGAUUUUCAACUUCUUUUUCUUUUUUUCAUCUGUUAUUUCUUUUGUUCCGUUCAGUUUGAGUCGAUCCUCCUUCAAUCUAUAACCAUUUAGAUAAUACUUACAAAGGUAUUUCAAUGUUUAAGUUUAAAAGGAUUAGUCACUCCAGUGUUAUACAACAAUUAAUUAUCAUAACUUCCUUUAUUCUUUUAAUUUACCAAACAAAUUCAUUCAAUUCAAUACAUUUCUUAUUCUUACUCUUCAUUUCAAACUAAAUUUGGAAAAUACUCAACAUUUGUUAAUGCACUAACCAACCUUAAAAUUUGUUUUUUUUUUAAUUUUUAUUAUAUUUAAAAGUUUACUUUUAUCUGAAAAUAGAAAAUUUUUCACUACAACUCAAAAAAUUAACCAUUACAAAUUAAAUAUAAAAAAUAAAGUUAUAAACACAAAAUUUAAAUAUUAACUUUAAAGCUAUCAAAACUAAAACUAUUAAAACAAAACUAGAUUUUUCAUAAUUAAAAUUUUGUCCCAAACAAUUUUCAUACAAAAUGCUAUGUUAUAGUGGGUCCUAACUCUAUCGUUUGAGUCCAUACGUUGUCCACUCUUGUCUUAUUUUCUUCGUAGUGUCAUCUGUUAUAAGUGAUGAAAUUUUGAACUGUUGAAAAAACACAACUUCAUAAUAUAUGAAUAUUAUUAUUUAAAGUUUGGUUGAUAGAGAUCCUCCCCAUAUAAUGGUCUUAGAAUGAAAAUGGAGAAAGAUAGACUAUUUGUGGUGCUCCUUUACUCUCUUAUUAAGUGUGUGUGUGUGACUUUAAAAAUCUAAUAUUGAUUAUGUCAUACUUUAACCCACACACAAGUACUGUAAUAUUAUUUUUGGUAUUUUUUUAUGUAACAUUUUAUAAAUAAAUGAUCCAUACUUUUUUUUUUUAUGUAGCUUUAGUGUUAAUUGUAACAUUUUGUGUUUUAUAAUUUAUAUAUGUGAAACUUUCUGAAUUGUUCUAGAGCAUUUUCUAUUAUUAGAAAUAUGAAUAUAAUUUCUCAUACUUACAAAAUAUAGUGAUUAAAUGAAAAUAUAAUUUGAAUUAUACAACCUUUAAGGUGAAUAUUUAGUAUAGAAGGGCUGAUCAAAUAAUGUUAAACAUUAAAAAAUUAUAUUGUGUGGCGUGUGCUACAUGCGAGUUUCUUCAUAAUGAAUUUUGGUACGGUAAUAUUUAAUACAAGAGGUUACGUUGAAACCAAUCAUUAAUUUGCUUAAAAAGUGAUUCCUUCUUAUGAAUGGUAAUGUUGCUCCGUCUGUCCCCUUUUGGACUCUUUUGUACAUUGAAACUUUAUGAAGUAGUGUAGGUGGCCCGCUUCAAAUAAAAAUUGUUGACUUAUUUUUUAACUCAUUUCACAUAACAUUUUACUCAUGUUUGCAAAUCAAUAAUGAAAAUAAAAAAUAUUCAUAAUUUUAUUAAAUAUAAACAUGUUAAAAAUUUCAUAACAAUUAACUAAAUCAAUAAUGAAAACUAAAUUUUAAGUAAUUAAAAUGGCCAAAGAUAUUGAUAAUGCUAAUUCUUACCAUUAUCUAAGCAUCAUUUUAGUAGCAAAAUCAACUCCUUUCUAGUUUGUAACUUGCUUAAUCCUCUUCUUUUGUCUUGUUUUCUUAAUAAGUGUGUUUUAGGCUACAUUGAUGUAACUUCAUCACUAACCCCAUUAUUUUGUAGCUAAAUAUAUGCUUGGAAGAAUCUCCAUCAAUUUAAAGAGCUUAAACAGCCAUAAAAGCAAGUAGAACAGCAAAAAAGGAGAGUUUUGGAAUGUUCCCGCUGGGCUGCCGCUAGGCUACCGCUUGAGCGCCAUGUCUCUGGAAUGUUGUCGCUGAGGUACCGCUGGGCCACCGCUGGGCUCUCUGUCAUUGGAAUAUCUGGCGCUGGGCUACCGCUUGAGCGGUAGUUGAGCGCUCUGCUCUCGGGAAGGCUACUGCUGGGCUACCGCUUGAGCGGUGACGACACUAAUGUGGCAGAUCUGGUCUAUUUAGACCUGAAACACGAAGAGAAAAGGGUCUUUGGUUCUUUGGAGGUGCGAUUUCACUGUUGGAGCUCAUGGAGGGAGCUUGUGGGAACAUCUCCUCCUCUUCCUUUGGGUCUCCUUCUUCUUCCAUCUUCCAUGUUUGUGAGCUUUAGGGUUCUCCAUGGAAGUGGAGAACCAUAUUCAUCUUGUUAGGGUUAGAUGUAGCCUAUGAACUCUUGUGUAAUGAAUGAUUGAUUCGUAUUUAUAUAUGCCUUUUCUAUCUAUUACUAGUAUUCCUGUUUUCGAUCUUAAACCUUGCAUGUAAUGGGAAUGUUCAUGACUUGAUUUUGGGAUUUCAUUGAUUAUGGGGACGUAAGAUGGAAUCUUGAACUGAAACAAGGGUCCUUGUGGUCAUUGAUUCUAGGGAUGGAAGAUGAUUCACAUGUUGUCUUAAGAUUCUAGCUCAUUAAUGAGGGUUUCCUUGUUAGAUUGUCCAAGGGAUUGGAGUUUAAUAGGGAAAACCUAGGCUCUUUCACCUAAGGGAUUAGGGUUAGAUUGUUUUAGUGGAUUGACUUUAGUAUAUUGAUGGAAAGGAGAUGAAAAGUGGGUAUACACAAGAGUGAAUUGGUGAAAUCUAAUAUUAACAUUGACAUUUCAUUCCAUUUCUAGUCUUUUCCAUUUCUAAGUGCCAUCAAUACCAAAGUCCAACCUUGUAAUUAUUUGUGAAUUUAUCUCUUUGCACAUAUUCUUAAAUGACGAGUUGUUAUUGAGUCUAGAUGAGUUGUUAAUCGCACAAUUUUCUAGUAUUACGAGUCUCUUGGGAAAACGAUACCUGGUUGCACACUUGCUAAUGAGUCAACAAGUUUUUGGCGCCGUUGCCGGGGACUCGUGUCAAUACUAGACUUUUGUGAGGUUUCUAACUUGUGUAGACUUGAUUUUGUAUAUAGAACUAACUCUUUCAUUGUAAAUAGAUUUUCACUUUUACUUGGGCUAAUUUGUGGCUUUAGCCUAGUUGUGUCUAAGUGUAUGCAGGGGGAUGUUCAUACAAGGAGGACUGCAGCCUCAAAAACAUCAUGUAAACCCUGGGAUAGAAGGAAUUAUAGUCACAUAAGGAGACAACAAGGUUGAGCACCACAAGUUUCCCAAAUUCUCCCUUCUUUGAGGAUGCUCCAAGUGCUUCAUUGAAAGAAGAAGAAGAAAGGGAGAAGCAAAAGAGAAAGCUUAGUCAUCACCACCCUUUAAUAAGAGAUAAAGAACUCAAGCCUUGCAAGCCAAAGUUAAUCAAGAGGAUUGAGUGUUUAAAGAUAUCAAGGCAGUGGAAGGGUUAAGAUGAAGAUUUAUAUGCUUGGAGAGUUGAUUUGGUGGCUAGAAAGUGGUUUAAGAAGAAUUGGUGAAAAGAGCACACCAACAACAAAAUAUGCACUUCAUUGAGUAAUUCGUCAAGCUAAUGACGUGAAACAAGCGCUUUUGGGAGGCAACCCAAUUUUCUUCUCCUCCUACACUUCAUUCUUCACCUAGAGAGAUUGGGAGAGGCCCUUGGAGGUUGUUUGGGGUGUUGGGAAGCUUUCCCACUCCUCCUUGGGUCUUCAAGCUUCAUCAAUGGUGAUUUGCCCCUUUUGGGGUUAAGGAAGAAGAUGGGUCACGAAUUGAAGAUGGAAUUGCGAAGGGGAGGCGCACAUGGAGCAUGGAGCAGCUGCCAAGGACCUUGGGAAAGACUUUGCAUCUUCUCUUUGGUUCCAAUUUCUUCCCUAUCUCUUCAAUUUUGUAGAACCCUAAAUUCUCCACUAUGGAGAGUUUUUCCUAUUUGUUGAGAUUAGAUGUAAUAAACUGAAUCUUGUGUAUUUUGUGAUGUUAAUACAUAUGCUUUUACAUUUCAAUGUUAGUAUUUGAUUUCUAUGCUUAAUGCUUGUUGUGGCUUGAUCACCCAUGGCUUGAAUUAUAGUUCUUGAUGUAUUGAAAAAUAUGACUUGAACUUAGAACUGAAAUUGAAUACUUAAUUGAUGGAAUUGAGUUGUUUGUAAAUGCAUGAGAAUGAAGUGGAUGAACUCUAGUCUUAACAAAUUGUAAAUACACUAUGUUAAAUUUCUUGCACACCAACUGUUUGAUAAAAUACCAAAAAGGGUUUCUUGUGGUUUUUAUGCAUUUUUAUGUCUAAUUGAGCUAUGGAAGGAAGAGUUGUGAUGUGUUGCACAAGUCCCUUGGGAGAGAACGAUAUUUAUCACUUGCUACGCUGCGAUCGGUGCACUUGCCGUUGGUUUUGCAGCCAACAAGUUUUUGGCGCCGUUGGUUUUUCUUGGGUGAGGACUGGUUCUACAUAAUUGAGUAAAGCAUUUUGUCAUGAUCAUUGAUCUCUUUUAAACAUAAGGCAUUUGAUUGAUUGAAUGUUUGAUGAGCAUCACAGUGGAAGACUAAUCUGUUACACAUUUCUAGUCAUUUCAAGCUAUGUAAGUGUUGUGGGUUCUACUGUGUCUGUGAAAAUAUUUUGUGUUAUAGCCAGAUACCUUUUUCUUGAGGACAAGCAAGGUUCUAAGUUUGGGAGUGUUGAUAAGGACAUAUUUUACCAUGAUUUCAGUAAUGAUUUAAGAGAAAAUGUCAACUCUUCCUUGGCUUUUUACCUUGUAAAUUGUAGUUUUCUCUUAGUUUGUUAAGUGGUUGCAUUUUAAGCUUUAAUGAAAUAUAUUUAUCAUUAAUCCCUGCCUUUAGGUGCUUACAAUAGUUGGAAGAAGCCUAUGCAUCAAAUGAAGGCACUGAAACCCAAAGAAAGCAAGAAAAACAGCAAAAAAAGAUUUGAUUUUUCCAAAAAUUGACAUCGAAUGGGUGACGUUAUAAAUAUUUUUCAUACUUUUUUCUCAAUCAUAAGGACAUACUUUUUCCCUAAACUAUAUAUUGAAAACUAACUUUUGAGGUAAAACUCGUAAAAAUAGGAAACACCCUACUAUUCUUCAUGUUUGUGUUUUUGCUUUUUAAUCUUUGCAGGCAAGUAUAGGAAUAAGCACCCUGCACCCCAUUUUGAUCUCUCAUUUCAACAUAAAUCAAAGAUGGGAAAGCUUGCAAACUAUACUAAUUUGAGAGAUGAAAUAGACGUGGUAGUAGAAAGUAAAUAAGAAGAAAGCAAACUUAUAUAUUUUAUCAUAUAUAUAUAUUUAAAAAUUAUGAAAGAUCUGGAAUAUAAAUUGUCCCGUGUAAUAAAUAGACAAUCUCGCAGUUUGUGUAGGUUAAAUAUAUAUGUUAGGAAGAGUGAGCGUAAAGUUAAUAUAUGGUAGUUUCGUUAGAGUGAAUUAAUUAUGUCAUGAUUGUUGUGUGUGUGAUAAGGUGUAUGUUAUAUAUAAGGAGAUCAUAAAAGAAGGAUAGAAGUCACAUAAAGAUUUUAUUUAAAGAAGAAGAAGUUUGAAGAAGAUGGAUAAAAGGAAAGAUGGUAGGUAAUCCUUGAUCCAACGUGUGGAAGAAGGAGCGUAAAAAGAAGAAGACGGAAAAGCGUAAAAGAAGAAAGAAAAAACAUUCGAAUAUGUGACUGGCAGCGGGGAUGAGAUCAAGCCCCGUCGGUGAGGUUACAGCUAUUAAUAAAUGCGCUUAUUUCGUCAGGUUCCGGUGAGGUCCCGACGAUGAUGAGAUCGAUUGGAAUGUGUAUGGCAUCCUCAAGGCAAAUAGUAGCUUGGUCAGCACUGAACCCCUGAAAGACGGAGCAGCAGCUUGGGGCUGCUGAACCACCCAAUAAGACAUUCACAAGACUCGACCUACAUGCACGGAAAAACGCAUCAAACCCACCAGGACAUGUCUGUUGAGACCUCACCAUUGAGAGUGAUAGCAGACUCAGAGAGAGGAACACUGCCAAAACAUAUUUCAUCCAACCCAUUCUCACAACACCACUUCUUUACUUUUCUUUUUUAUUUUCAAUGAUUAACAACUCAACACCAAUGCCCUAUUUAUAGCCCAAAAACUUCUGCUUUUCCUC
rnacentral:lncRNA from 1 species